UAAAGGCCUACCAAGGCGACGAUCAGUAGCUGGUCUGAGAGGACGACCAGCCACAUUGGGACUGAGACACGGCCCAAACUCCUACGGGAGGCAGCAGUGGGGAAUUUUGGACAAUGGGGGCAACCCUGAUCCAGCCAUGCCGCGUGCGGGAAGAAGGCCUUCGGGUUGUAAACCGCUUUUGUUAGGAACGAAAAGGUAUCUGUGAACAACAGGUAUUGCUGACGGUACCUAAAGAAUAAGCACCGGCUAACUAC
rnacentral:rRNA from 1 species